GCAGCUAUGGCGGAAUGGCAGACGCGGCAGAUUUAGGUUCUGUUGGGGAGACCCGUGCAGGUUCAAGUCCUGUUAGCUGCA
rnacentral:tRNA from 1 species